ACCUCUCAGUUCCUAUGCUUCCUGUCUGAUGUUUUGGUCACUUUUGAAUUCUGGUGGUGCUUUCACUCUGGUGGUAGCAUGAGACGGAGUCUACAACCCACACAAGUGGCUCAGGUAGUGCAGCUCAUCCAGGAUGGCACAUCAAUGCGAGCUGUGGCAAGAAGGUUUGCUGUGUCUGUCAGCGUGGGGGUUGUGCUUACAGCCCAACACCGUGCAGGACGUUUGGCAUUUGCCAGAGAACACCAGGAUUGGCAUAUUCGCCACUGGCGCCCUGUGCUCUUCAAAGAUGAAAGCAGGUUCACACUGAGCACAUGUGACAGACGUAGCCUGACUGCCAUUAGGUACCGAGAUGAGAUCCUCAGACCCCUUGUGAGACCAUAUGCUGGUGCAGUUGGCCCUGGGUUCCUCCUAAUGCAAGACAAUGCUAGACCUCAUGUGGCUGGAUUGUGUCAGCAGUUCCUGCAAGAGGAAGGCAUUGAUGCUAUGGACUGGCCCGCCCGUUCCCCAGACCUGAAUC